rnacentral:rRNA from 1 species
GAUGAACGCUGGCGGCGUGCCUAACACAUGCAAGUCGAACGAAGCGCCUUUUGAGAUUCUUCGGAUGAUUGAUUGGUGACUGAGUGGCGGACGGGUGAGUAACGCGUGGGUAACCUGCCCUGUACAGGGGGAUAACAGCUGGAAACGGCUGCUAAUACCGCAUAAGCGCACGAGGAGACAUCUCCUAGUGUGAAAAACUCCGGUGGUACAGGAUGGGCCCGCGUCUGAUUAGCUGGUUGGCAGGGUAACGGCCUACCAAGGCAACGAUCAGUAGCCGGUCUGAGAGGAUGAACGGCCACAUUGGAACUGAGACACGGUCCAAACUCCUACGGGAGGCAGCAGUGGGGAAUAUUGCACAAUGGGGGAAACCCUGAUGCAGCAACGCCGCGUGAGUGAAGAAGUAUUUCGGUAUGUAAAGCUCUAUCAGCAGGGAAGAUAAUGACGGUACCUGACUAAGAAGCUCCGGCUAAAUACGUGCCAGCAGCCGCGGUAAUACGUAUGGAGCAAGCGUUAUCCGGAUUUACUGGGUGUAAAGGGUGCGUAGGUGGCAGUGCAAGUCAGAUGUGAAAGGCCGGGGCUCAACCCCGGAGCUGCAUUUGAAACUGCUCGGCUAGAGUACAGGAGAGGCAGGCGGAAUUCCUAGUGUAGCGGUGAAAUGCGUAGAUAUUAGGAGGAACACCAGUGGCGAAGGCGGCCUGCUGGACUGUUACUGACACUGAGGCACGAAAGCGUGGGGAGCAAACAGGAUUAGAUACCCUGGUAGUCCACGCCGUAAA